AUAGGACCUUCCUCACACUGAAGAGGCACGAAAAACAGACCCUGAAAACCUCUGAAAAAUCCAACUCUCAAAUUUUCUACUUCCUCACUCUUUACAAAGUUUGGAGAACAUCUCUUUUGGAUUUUCUGGGUUCUUUAGCUGAGAUAUGACUUGACAAUGAAGCUGGUACCCCUUUUGAAACCUUGGACUGCAAAGUGAACAUGAAGAUGUGUGUGUUUUGAGGCUGAUGCAAUCAGUCAUUUUUCAGUAAUUAGCUCUUAUGUUCUAUUAAUUCGUAUAUCUUUUCUCUUGUUAAUCAAUGUUAUGCUUUGCCUAUUAUUAAUAGAUAUAGAUCUGUAUUUGGUACAUAAAUUUUUUAUUGUAAUAUAUGAAAUUUUAGGACUUUAGCUUUUAUGUUAAGGAUCUCGUGGAAAAUGUUAAAUGUUCGAAUUUUAGCCAAGUGGAUAUACAAUGUGAUUGUGAGAAUUUGUCUAUGUAAUCUUUGGUUCUGGAACUAUGCUGGAGUCAUUAGAACAUUUGGUGUGAUGAGUACAUACAUUUGAGGAUUGGCUACCACUGUUGCAUUCAAAUUCGUGAAUAAUGUUUUUUAUUUCA